rnacentral:rRNA from 1 species
UAGCGAAGGGGGCUAGCGUUGCUCGGGAAUCACUGGGCGUAAAGCGCACGUAGGCGGACUCUUAAGUCGGGUGGUGAAAUCCUGGAGCUCAACUCCAGAACUGCCUUCGAUACUGAGAGUCUCGAGUCCGGGAGAGGUGAGUGGAACUGCGAGUGUAGAGGUGAAAUUCGUAGAUAUUCGCAAGAACACCAGUGGCGAAGGCGGCUCACUGGCCCGGUACUGACGCUGGAGGUGACGAAAGCGUGGGGAGCAAACAG